AAUACAGAUUUUUCGUAAUCAUGCAUAUCCCACUGGUUGCGUUGGUAAAAGAAAAUAGAAAAGCACAAGAAACUUCCAACAAUACAACACACAACGUGUGCCGUCUCCCAUUACUUAACAAGUCUCUCUCCAUUCUCCUCUCUCAACUCUCAAGCAGUUGCUGCUGAAGAACCAAAAUCCCAGAAAAAAAGAAGAAGAAAGAAAGUGAGAGAAAAUGUGCUCUUCAGAAGGUGAUUGCAGGCCUCUGGGCUUUCUGCUCGGCCUUCCUUUUGCUCUCCUCUCCCUCGUCCUCUCCAUCGUCGGCAUCGUUAUCUGGAUCGUCGGAUUGUUGCUGACUUGCAUAUGCCCGUGCUGUUUGUGCGUGACGGUGGUCGUGGAGUUGGCUCUGGAGUUGGUCAAAGCCCCAAUUCAUGUGAUGGAGUGGUUCACUUCUCAAAUCCCCUGCUAAUCUCAUCUCAUUCAGAUUGUUUAAAUUUUUUUAUUUUUAUUUUUUUUAUUUUUAGUUUAGUUUUAUCACUGAGUUUGGUGUUUUAUAUUCAUCAUCACACUGUGUUUACUGUGUACUGUUUAUGUAUUCCAUGGAGGUGAAUAUGUAGAAUUCUAUGUGAAUUUGAGUGGAAAAAAACCCAUCAAAACCCCACAGCAACUCAUCAAAACCCAUAAAAAAAAUCAGAGUAAAAAAAAAAUGAUCAUCACCAUUCUGAAACUUAACCAUUAUACUCAAAACAGCAAUUCAAUUCACAUUAUAUUACAAUAACAUUCAAUCCCUAAUUCAAAAAUCAUCAAGUAACUGCCUUGAUAUCAGUGAAGGAUGGCUUUGGUGAGGCUCUGGCUGUUAUCUGCCUUUGGGUGGAGGUGCGUGAAUGGAGUGGGGUAGCUAGCUGUGUGGGGGAGGUGGGUGGCUGUGGGAUUGGUGGGCGUACAUUUUUACGGCACAUCCACACCUCCAAGGGGAUCAAAACCAGCUCUUCCAUGGGGAUUUUCCAAUUUUCAGAUCCCCCUUUGCCCCGAGGAAUUAGCUGCUGUUCAUGUGCUGCAGCCGGCUUUGGGUGGCUGCUGUGAGUUCUUUGUUUUAAAACCAAUGCUGUAGAGGUAGCGGUGCCUUUGCGUCUGCCUGCUCUGCCCGUGUCUUAAACCAUGGCUGCUGGUUUCAUGUUUGCCCUUGUUCUAUAAUUUGGUCAAACUAAUAUAAUGUGCAUAAGAAUUCCUUUUAUGGUUAAAAAAAACUCAUUAACACAACUUUUUCCUGCGAAACUCUUUUUUUCCUUGGAAGCCACAACUGGAAGCGAAAACAAAACUGAAAACAGAGCGAAUGGACUACGAAAAACCCAUCUUUUGUGUUCUUGAUGCUCUAACCUACGUGAGCUUCUGGAUUCUCAAAGGAUUGCUUGGUAGAGGUUUUCACAGCCCACGCAUCCAGAAGAAUGGGAAGCUUUUGGACAUUUUUCGCAUGUUUUCUUUUUUCUUUCUUUAGGUUUAGGUUUUGAGAAUCUGAGUUAUUUGAUAAAGGGUUUGAUGCAGGGGAAACAAAAAUUCAAAAGAGAAUUAGGGAGAUGGAGAAAGUAGAAGAGAGGUUGUAAGUGUUUGUUGUGGACUACCAGCAUUCUUUUGGCAUUGAAGGGUUGCUCUGCUAUGUUCUGUUGUUUAGAUAGUCCAAAUAUGAUCAGUGGCGAAUCUAGGAAUAUUUCUUCCCCUCCGGGGUCUCAAAAAAAUUUAGACAAAAAAUACCCGUAAAAAUGAAACUCAUUAGUAUUGUCAACAUGAUUCAUGAAAGAAAGUCUCAUUACCAUACAAAUUUUUCUUAACAGUUUUUGGUUGAAGUAUUACCUUUGAGUAUGUUUAAUUUCUGAGUUGUAACACAUACAUACCCAAGCUAGUAAGAUCAUCCUUCACUUGAAAUUGAAAGAACUUUUGUCAUGAUAAUUUGUUAAGCUAAAGAUAAAAGGGGAAUUUACUGAUUGGCUUCUCAUAAAUAUAUUUUCAAUCCCUUCUGCUAGCAAGUAUAAAAUCCGACUGUCCAUUGUAUGUUUGGCCCACAUACGCUUCUUGUAUGUGUGACAUUUAUUUAUUUUUUGUUCAAAGGAGGCAAACUUGCAGAUAACAAACAAGAGCUGCUUAUGAAACAAAACUUGCUCAAGCCAAAUCACAGGAUGAAGGUAGUCACUCAUGAUACAAAAGAGAUCAGAAAAACAUAAAAAAUGGGGCUGGGAAUUGAGGUUUGAAAUUGAAUUUGUUUGUGGGGUUGUCAGGCUGGGAAUAGGAUCGACAUAGUUUUGAUCGCUUAUUCGGAUCGGAUGCCUUCAUGUUGAGCUUUAUAUACAAUUUCUCUAAAUGGAAGUAUGGGGUGAAUAAAGGGCA